ensembl:snRNA U6 U6 spliceosomal RNA
UCGCUUUGGCAGCAUAUAUGCUACAACUGAAAUGGUACAGAGAAGCUGGCAUGACCCCUGUACAAGGAUAACACACUCUCAUGAGUGCUCUGUGUUUCAGAGAAAGUUUUU